rnacentral:rRNA from 1 species
AACGAACGCUGGCGGCAGGCCUAACACAUGCAAGUCGAGCGCGCCUUCGGGUGAGCGGCGGACGGGUUAGUAACGCGUGAGAAUCUGCCCUCAGGAGGGGGACAACAGCUGGAAACGGCUGCUAAUACCCCAUAUGCCGCGAGGUGAAAUGAAUUUCGCCUGAGGAUGAGCUCGCGUCUGAUUAGCUAGUUGGUGUAGGUAAUGGCUCACCAAGGCAUCGAUCAGUAGCUGGUCUGAGAGGAUGAUCAGCCACACUGGGACUGAGACACGGCCCAGACUCCUACGGGAGGCAGCAGUGGGGAAUUUUCCGCAAUGGGCGAAAGCCUGACGGAGCAACGCCGCGUGAGGGAUGAAGGCCUCUGGGCUGUAAACCUCUUUUAUCAAGGAAGAAGAUCUGACGGUACUUGAUGAAUAAGCCACGGCUAAUUCCGUG